rnacentral:lncRNA from 1 species
UACUUCCUCCAUUCACUUUUGUAAGACCGUUCAGACAUUUAAGACAACACCCAAAACAGUCAAAAAUUCAAUCUCAGCUGUCUAAAACGUCUCUAAAACGUAUAACUUGUUGCUGCUAUAAUUUGUUUGGUUGUUUAUUCCAUUAAUAAAAAGAUAACAAGGAGAAAAAGAAAAGGCAUACACUAAAGUUUGCUUGUCCACAACUAAACUGAGUAUUCUUUUAAUAAUAACAUGCUAGAACGUUGCACGGCACUUCACAGCUAAAUUCAGGCAUACGCCAAAAGGUAGCAGGUUCAGUCAGGCAGCUAACUAUCAUACAGACCAAGAGGGAGGGAGAGAGGGAGGUUUCUAGGAACCCUAGACAAGUCACCUAUUACAGACAAGUAAUCGCCAAAGGAAACCCGGAUUCUAAGCCAGAAACCGUGGCAUUGAGGAGCUCCUCGUUCGUCGCUUAUCUGUUGCCGGCAUCGGCGUCGGCGCGCGCUCCUUGCGACGCUUCUUGGGUCGCUCCGUCUUCUCUGCGGUGGACUCGACGUCCUUCUCAAAGCACCUGUCCUCAGAAACUUGCAUCUUCUGAUCUUCAGAGGUGCUGGCAACAAGAGGCCUUUUAGCAUCGCAGGGUUUGUCCUCCCAAACUGCCUCAUUCGGUUUGUCCUCUGAAGCUUCCAUCUUCUCAUCUUCCCAGGUGCUGGCAAGAAGAGGCCUUUUAGCAUCACGGGGUUUGUCCUCCCAAACUGCUUCAUUCGGUUUGCCCUCGCAAACUUCCAUCAUCUGAUCUUCGGAGAUGCUAUCAGGAAGAGGCCAUUUAGCAUCACAGGGUGUGUCCUCGCAAACUGCUUCAAUCUUCACGCACAAGGCGCUAUCAACGUCAGGCAUCUCAGCAUCGGUACAGUUAGUGUCAACUUCACAAAGAACUGUCUCGCCUGCUCCUGGUCCUAUACCGUGUGCAUCCACACUGUCCACAUGAGCAUCAUCACUCCCAUUUUUACUGUCGCCUCCCACGAUGGUGCUAGUCUCUCCCUCUUUCGGCUCAUGGGGAACAGCGAUGUCACUGAUAGCACAGCUCUCAAUGUUUCCCUCUUUGGACUCGGGUGAAAUAUGCUGCUCAACAUCACUGAUCUUAUCCGCAGCUGCGCAAGUUUCCUCCAUGCCAACUUCGAUAUCAUCUUCUACCUUGAGAUCCACAUAAGUAUCUUCAUGUUUCAAGUCCUCAGAUUCAACAGCAAUUGUUGAGGGAGAAUGCUCAGCAACAUCAUUGUUCAAAUCACAUACCACGGGAGAAGACUGCUCAGCAACAUCAUUGUUCAAAUCGCAUACCAUGAGAGAAAUAUCACCCUUGGCCUCCUCAUCUUCAACAAUGUUUCUUUCUGAAGAAUGCUCAGAAGUAUUCCCUUCUAUAUCACCAGCCGCAACAGAUCCCGUGACAUCAGGGAGAUCACAUCUGCCAUUGUCAGCUUCGUCUUUGGUGCUUGCUGGAUUAGGUGCAAUGUCAACUUCCCUGGCAUCAGACAUCAUGACAGGAUGCAUAUCCUCGGACACAUCACAGCAAUCAUACAGAACUUCAUUUAUGUUUGUUUCUAAGCUCUGUUCUUUGUAGGCCAUUGCCUCGGAGUUAUCAGAGAAUGAGCCACACUUGGAAUCCAUAAUAUGAUGCAUCAUAACUUCUGUGUGGCUAGAAAUUGUCUGGUUAUUAUGCGAACAAUCUAGCAUGGAUUCCUCAAAAGUGUCCUGACCUUUUACCACACAACCAUCAUCCUUCAACGCUUCAGCAUCUUCUGGGGCAUAUGAUCUCAGGUCAGGUUUAUUAUCAUAAUCCGCAGGAGGUGGCUCAUUUUCCACAGCCUGGCUUGGCAUGCAGACAGCAAUAUCAUUGUCGGGUGGACAAACCU